rnacentral:lncRNA from 1 species
AACUUACUUCAAACGUUAUUUAUACUGAAUAGCUCUAACAGUUCUACUUUGUUCUUCCUAGAGGAUUUUAUAAGGACCUUCCCUUAUGACCAAGUGGAACUUGUGUAACGAAAUUACAAUCAGAUUAAUUCUGAUGUCGCAUGCAACACUUUAUGACGUCAUAAAAUUACAUCAAUAAAGACAAUUUGACAAAAUGGAAAGCGUGAUGCUCUGCUACACAGCUAGCUACAAAUUUCGAUUUUGGAGUUUAAUAUUUUUUAUAUUACAAAUGUUUCCAUGAAAGAAAAUGCUCAGGCGACUUUUCUUUGGUUAUGCUUUGUUGAUUUUGUUCUGUUUUUGGAAAGUGGAUGGCACAAUAAUCGCGAAAAGCGAUAUAACAAUCUGUGAAAAUACGGCCAAAGAUCCACUUAAUGUUUUGUAUAACAAAAGAUGUGAGAAAAAGAUGGUUGUACUGGCUGAAGUCACUAGUGGCCAGGUAUCAAACUAACAAACAAAUAAACACAAAACACACUAACUAAUAAACUAACUAUAACUAACCAACUAAUUAGCCAGCCACCUAAUUAAUUACUCAA